rnacentral:misc_RNA from 1 species
AAGUCGUAACAAGGUCUCCGUAGGUGAACCUGCGGAGGGAUCAUUAACACUUUGAUACUAAUCAAAACCAACCUGUGAACUUGUAUCACGACCCUGAUUUAAGUCUAGAUUUUGACAUCGUACUGGAUAGGUAAAUUUUGCUUGCAAAAUUUGUAUGAUGUUAUUCAUAUGUAAAAGUAUGCAGCGACAUUUUUAUGUUGUUGGUUUAUUCUUAACAGGGCCUAAUUUGAAAGACAGGAUUUAUUCUGACUUUUAAGAUCUAGCCUAUAGAUCGCUUUAUUCACCUUUUUUUAAUCAUUAACUACUAAUGACUAUAUAACACAUUAGGUUUGCCCUGUGUGGACUGAUUAUGCUAAGCAAUUUAUUGUUUGCAUUGUUGUAAUUCAACCAUGAUACAACUCUUAACAAUGGAUAUCUUGGUUCUC